rnacentral:rRNA from 1 species
UCUUUUUGGUUAUAAUUUAAAGUCUAGCCUGCCCACUGAAAUUUUAAAUGGCCGCGGUAUUUUGACCGUGCUAAGGUAGCAUAAUCAUUAGUUUUUUAAUUGAAAGCUGGAAUGAAGGGUUGGAUGAAAAAAUGACUUUUUUAAAUUAAUUUUAUUAGAAUUUUAUUUUUAAGUUAAAAAGCUUAAAUAUUUUUAAAAGACGAGAAGACCCUAUAGAGUUUUAUAAAAAAAAUUAUUUUAUUAAAUUAAGGAUUUUAAUUUUUAAAUUAAAAUUUUUAUUUAAUUGGGGUGAUUUAAAAAUUAAAUUAACUUUUUAUAAAUUUUUAUAUUAAUUUAUAGAUAUAUGAUCCUAAAAUUUUAGAUUAUAAGAAAAAAUUACCUUAGGGAUAACAGCGUAAUUUUAUUAGAGAGUUCAAAUUGAUAGUAAAGAUUGCGACCUCGAUGUUGGAUUAAAA